rnacentral:tRNA from 1 species
GAGUGAUUAUUUUAACUAAAAUAUUUGAUUUCGACUCAAAAGCUCGUGGUUUAAAGCCACAAUCACCCA